rnacentral:rRNA from 1 species
GGUUAAAGUACCAAAGGGCACACAAGGGAUGCCUAGGUAGAAAGACCGAAGAAGGACGUGGUAGCUGCGAUAAGCUUGCGAAGUUGCAAACGAACGUGGAUGCCAAGAUUUCCGAAUGGAGCAAUCUGUAAAGAGUCAUGUCUUUACACGAAAGAGGGAACCGGGUGAACUGAAACAUCUAAGUAAUCCGAGGAAAAGAAAGUAACAACGAUACCCUAAGUAGCGGCGAGCGAACGGGGUAGAGCCUAAACCGUAUUCAUGUCAAGGAUGCAGCCGUUGUGGAUACGGGGUAGCGGGAAAGAGAGAGAAAGAACUGCAAGCUAUUUCGCAGACGUAAGCAAAGGAACAAGAAAGAUCUGGAAAGGUCUACCGUAGAAGGUGAAAGUCCUGUAUUGGUAGUUUUCUUGCGCUGUAUCUCUUCUCCCAAGUAAUGUGGAACACGAGGAAUUCUGCAUGAAUCUGCGAGGACCAAAUCUCGUAAGGCUAAAUACUCU